rnacentral:misc_RNA from 1 species
UGUGCGGUGCAGACGUCU